UGUGUUUCCUGUAACAAAUCGUUCAAGAAACUCUGGUCCCUUCAUGAACAUAUCAAGAUCGUCCAUGGAUAUGCAGAAAAGAAAUUUUCCUGUGAAAUUUGUGAGAAGAAAUUCUAUACCAUGGCUCAUGUGCGGAAACACAUGGUUGCACACACAAAAGACAUGCCAUUUACAUGCGAAACCUGUGGAAAAUCAUUCAAACGCAGUAUGUCACUCAAGGUGCACUCCUUGCAGCAUUCUGGAGAGAAGCCCUUUAGAUGCGAGAACUGUGACGAAAGGUUUCAGUACAAGUACCAGCUACGCUCCCACAUGAGCAUUCAUAUUGGGCACAAACAGUUCAUGUGCCAGUGGUGUGGCAAGGAUUUCAACAUGAAGCAGUACUUCGACGAACACAUGAAAACACACACUG
rnacentral:circRNA from 1 species